UGGCUGGGGGUGAAAGGCCAAUCAAACCGGGAGAUAGCUGGUUCUCCCCGAAAGCUAUUUAGGUAGCGCCUCGUGAACUCAUCUUCGGGGGUAGAGCACUGUUUCGGCUAGGGGGUCAUCCCGACUUACCAACCCGAUGCAAACUACGAAUACCGAAGAAUGUUAUCACGGGAGACACACGGCGGGUGCUAACGUCCGUCGUGAAGAGGGAAACAACCCAGACCGCCAGCUAAGGUCCCAAAGUCAUGGUUAAGUGGGAAACGAUGUGGGAAGGCACAGACAGCCAGGAUGUUGGCUUAGAAGCAGCCAUCAUUUAAAGAAAGCGUAAUAGCUCACUGGUCGAGUCGGCCUGCGCGGAAGAUGUAACGGGGCUAAACCAUGCACCGAAGCUGCGGCAGCGACACUAUGUGUUGUUGGGUAGGGGAGCGUUCUGUAAGCCUGCGAAGGUGUGCUGUGAGGCAUGCUGGAGGUAUCAGAAGUGCGAAUGCUGACAUAAGUAACGAUAAAGCGGGUGAAAAGCCCGCUCGCCGGAAGACCA
rnacentral:rRNA from 1 species